AAUCUUCCGCAAUGGACGAAAGUCUGACGGAGCAACGCCGCGUGAGCGAAGAAGGCCUUCGGGUCGUAAAGCCCUGUUGUAAGGGAAGAACAAGCAUCGGUUAACUGCCGGUGCCCUGACGGUACCUUACCAGAAAGCCACGGCUAACUCCGUUCCAGCAGCCGCGGUAAUACGUAGGUUGCAAGCGUUGUACGGAAUUAUUGGGCGUAAAGCGCGCGCAGGCGGUCCUUUAAGUUUGAAGUGAAAGCCCACGGCUCAACCGGGGAGGAUCAUUGGAAACUGGGAGACUUGAGUGCAGAAGAGGAAAGCGGAAUUCCAAGUGUAGCGGUGAAAUGCGUAGAGAUGUGGAGGAACACCAGUGGCGAAGGCGGCUUUCUGGUCUAUAACUGACGCUGAGGCGCGAAAGCGUGGGGAGCAAACA
rnacentral:rRNA from 1 species